rnacentral:rRNA from 1 species
CCUACGGGAGGCAGCAGUGGGGAAUAUUGGGCAAUGGGCGCAACCCUGAUCCAGCGACGCCGCGUGAGUGAAGAAGUCUUUCGGUAUGUAAAGCUCUAUCAUCAGGGACGAAAAUGACGGUACCUGACUAAGAAUCCCCGGCUAACUACGUGCCGGCAGCCGCGGUAAUACGUAGGGGGCAGGCGUUAUCCGGAUUUACUGCGUGUAAAGGGGGCGUAGGCGGUGCAGCAAGUCUGAUGUGAAAGGUCGGGGCUCAACCGCGGGACUGCAUUUGAAACUGUUGAACUUGAGUACCGGAGAGGUAAGCGGAAUUCCUAGUGUAGCGGUGAAAUGCGUAGAUAUUAGGAGGAACACCAGUGGCGAAGGCGGCUUACUGGACUGUAACUGACGGUGAGGCUCGAAAGCGUGGGGAGCAAACAGGAUUAGAUACCCCAGUAGUC